rnacentral:ncRNA from 1 species
GGAGAUGGUCAAAAAAAAGGACAGCAAAUAAAUUGGACAUUGUUUGAUGCUCUUUUCAUGGGAAGCUCUGUUCAGAAUGGCCUCUGGUGCCCUCAGCUGAUUGAAAGGGAGGCAGGUCAUGAUCCCUGUACCUGGGGCGAUGUGUCCCUGUAUCUUUCCACACUUUAUUGGUUGGGGGGGGUGGAUGGUGGGAGUGUUCAUUUCGGCAACACAAUUAUCCUGGAGAAGAUGGCGGGUACCCUGGGGACAGUUCUGUUCUCUUUGUAAUAGGCUGGGCUGCCUUGGAAUGGAUUCUGUACCUUGAAAAGCACCACAGUAUUGGGGGUGUCUCAUGAGCUCCUGUCCUUGAAAAUCCAGGGGAGAUGGUGUAAAUCUCGCGCCGGGCCGUACCCAUAUCCGCAAUAGGUCUCCAAGGCGAACCGCCUCU